rnacentral:rRNA from 1 species
CCUACGGGAGGCAGCAGUGAGGAAUAUUGGUCAAUGGACGAGAGUCUGAACCAGCCAAGUAGCGUGAAGGAUGACUGCCCUAUGGGUUGUAAACUUCUUUUAUAUGGGAAUAAAAUGUUCCACGUGUGGGAUUUUGUAUGUACCAUAUGAAUAAGGAUCGGCUAACUCCGUUCCAGCAGCCGCGGUAAUACGGAGGAUCCGAGCGUUCUCCGGAUUUAUUGGGUUUAAAGGGAGCGUAGGUGGAUUGUUAAGUCAGUUGUGAAAGUUUGCGGCUCAACCGUAAAAUUGCAGUUGAAACUGGCAGUCUUGAGUACAGUAGAGGUGGGCGGAAUUCGUGGUGGAGCGGUGAAAUGCUUAGAUAUCACGAAGAACUCCGAUUGCGAAGGCAGUUCACUGGACUGCAACUGACACUGAGGCUCGAAAGUGUGGGUAUCAAACAGGAUUAGAUACCCUAGUAGUC